AUCAAGGAGACAGGGGAGUGACUGAGGGCAGGUGAAGGGAAUUAACCAAUCAAGGAGACAGGGGAGUGACUGAGGGCAGGUGAAGGGAAUUAACCAAUCAAGGAGCCAGAGGAGACACAGAGAAGAAACAGAGGAGACACAGAACAGGGUUUUACAAUAAUUGGCAGUUUUUGCCAAGAAGAGCAGUGGGAUUCGUAACAACGCACCCAGGUUAGAGAUCUGGAUGUGUUAUGCCAGUGGCUGAGCCUCGUGUCAAUAGCCUCAAGUGACAUCUUCAGUAUGCUCACACUCGGACACACCCACAGUCAUGUCUGGAUGACAUGCUGCUCAAUUGAGCGCGGAUCGAAUGCAUCGCAGACGUCUGCCGUCACUGAAGUCCCUGGUAUUCUUCCUGAUAAUGUGCCCGACCAGUGGUGGUGGUAUUUGCAGUUCCUCCGUCAUACAACCUCGCCUGAAGGAGUCUAGACUGCUCAAUGUCCGGCUUACUGCUGGAGAUGCUUACCAUGAAGCUGCUACUUACCUGACCUCUGACUUGUCAAGUCGAUGACACUGGUGGACAACGUCGGACGACAUCAGAGGAUUGGAGAGGGAAUUUCGAGAGGGAAUUUCGAGAGUGGAUUUCACACAGACCCCCCUGGACAGAUCCCUGAAAACAAGACGAAGAUUUCUGAAUUUGUGAAGUUUUUCUUAUUAUUCCAUUGUGCCAUCUUCAUGAAUAUACACAUAGGGCAGGAUGCUUGGCCCUAUAGGGUUAUUAUCGGGUUAUUAAUUAUGCAAAUGUACAAUUAUCUUGAACGCACGCUCAUUUACAGCAUUCAUCAUGUUUAAGAUGGUCAUUCAUACUGUAAUCUGAAAUUGGGAGCGUUUGCUUAAUCUGACGUGGCUCACAGAAAUUUAACAUAAGAACCAAAAGGCCCAAAGAGAGGGUUGCUAUAGCAACAACGCCCCGGUUCAUGGGAGGACUGCAACCAAGAUGUAUUUCAUCUUAUAUAUCUACCUUCUUUUAAUGAAAGCAACAAUAAAUAUUAAAAGUCAUACUUUGCCAUAAUUUCUCCUGCGUGCUUGAAUGAUAACAUAUUCGUGUGCCAAAGCAUUUUAUUGUCAAGGAAUCCUAAUCUGAUUGUUUUUGCUUGUAUUUAAAGUUAGGAACCAACUGUUAUUAAUAAGGUUUAUAUAUCAGGGUUGGCUGAAGUUGUCCACCGCAGCCUGCUCAUACUAGUGCAUGCUGAUUGCCCCACAAUAUUAAAGCUGCUCACUUAUACUUAUACCGGUUGCCGCUUCAAUGCAUGGCAAGUGCAUUACCCUUUGACACACAUAUAGCAGUCUGCAUGUAAAGCACAUUGUGGCUAAUGACACCGUACGCAUGCAAAGACGAACCUCAACAGUAUUUCCAAUCAGUUUUAACCCUGACCUCAGUGAGAGACCUUUGCUGAGUAGUAGUGUAAGCCCCCACUAACUCCUCCACAGCCACUAAUGAGAUUCGCUGACGUGCCCUGCGCUGUAAGCCGCCCCGCAGCGCUGCGAGAAGGUGCACCUUGUGGAGGUAUGUUAAUGACACAUGUAACCUGAAACAGUAUUGUAGUAUAUUUCCAUCUACUGUUUAAUGUCAGAUUAUCCAAAAAUAUGCAAGUCAGGGCUCAACGUUCAAUAACCUAUGGGACUGUGCCUUAGCCUUGAGAGAUUACGCCACUAGGUUGCUGGUUAAGAACAUAGGGCGGGGGCUAGAUAACAGGCAUGAACCAGGGGGUUCAACGGGUCUGGGGCCAGCAUGAACCAGGGGGUUCAACGGGUCUGGGGCCAGCAUGAACCAGGGGGUUCAACGGGUCUGGGGCCAGCAUGAAUCUGGGGGUUCAACGAGUUUGGGGUCAGACUUAGUUGAUCAGUUUUAGGAUAAGGUAAUUAUGUCUACAUAUGAUUGGUCCACGAAGGCCGGUAACAAUAAACUCCACCUCUUUUGUUGUGUCUAAAACAUAUGUUAAAAUGCAUGUUCGAUAGUCUUUCUCAAUUCGGUGCCUGAAAGUACUCCAAACGGCCUGCAGGCGUAUGUUCCAUGACCUGUAGGCCUACUUGUUAAGAAUAAACUCAAUUUUCUCGCUAAGUGC